UGAAAGUUUUGGUCCUGGACUUUCCGUUAUUUAUGACUAAGAUUACACAUGCAAGCAUCCACACUCCAGUGAGUUCCGCCCAAUCACACAGGAGCUGGCAUCAGGCACAGUCUUAUCAGCCAACAACGCCAAGACAACCCACCCCCACACGGGUAUACAGCAGUGACCAAUAUUAGGUAAUGAGCUAACGCUCGACCAAACUAUAAUCUAAACAGCCGGCAAACUUCGUGCCAGCCGCCGCGGUUAUACGAAGAGGCUGUAAAUAACGAACAGCGGCAUAAAGUGUGAGUAUUUUUUCAACACAUUAAGUAUCAACUGAGACCUGUAAGUGAAACCGAGGCCUAAAUUGAACCUCAACUAUAGAACUUAACUUAAAGGAAACCAAAAACUCACGAAAACUGGGGAACAAACUAGGAUUAGAUACCCUACUAUGCCCAGUCGUAAACAUCGAUCUUUUUCAUCCGCCAGAGGACAACGAGCAACGCUUAAAACCCAAAGGACUUGGCGGCGUUCCACACCACCCUAGAGGGGCCUGUCACAUAAUCGAUAACCCACGAUAAACCUUACCAUUUUUAGCCGUAUCCGCCUAUAUACCGCCGUCGCCAGCUCAUCUUGAUGAAAGAAAAGAAAUAGGCCUAAAAGUUCUUCUGCACUAACACGACAGGUCAAGGUGUAGCUCAUAUAAUGGCACAUGAUGGACCACAUUGCUUACUUAAUCUAAGCCAAACUAAAAUUGAGUUGAAAUGCACAAUUUAAGGUGAAUUUAACAGUAAGACGAACAAGAAAAUUUGUCUCAAGACUGCUCUGGAACGUGCACACACCGCCCGUCACCCUACUUUACUAACACACCACAAACAUAUUAUGAUCUCAAAAACAAGAGUAGGAAAGUCGUAACAAGGUAAGCGUACCGGAAGGUGCCCUUGGAAGA
rnacentral:ncRNA from 1 species